ensembl:lncRNA
GGGAGAUCAGAAGCAAAAGAGAAACAGAAUUCAGCCAAACUGCACUGGCUAGGCACAAAGCUAAGCCAAUAUGUGAGAAAGAAGAUGAGAGUAUGCAGCUGGGGUACCCCAAAGUGAGACAGGUUAAGGUAUCCACUUUUCACAGUAUUUUUUGCAUAUCACACUUGGUUUCUUGGGACUAAAAUUCCCUUCAUUGCUAAGGGUUUCCUUGUUAAUAGCUUGCCUGCAUGGGUCAGUUUGCCGUUUGCCUCUUACGAUUUACGAGCUUUUGUAAUCUUAACAACCUCAGGGUUAACACAUAAAUAUAUCUCACCAGAUAUUCUCUUCAAGAACGUUUAUGGAUACAUUUGAAGAUGAUGUUUCUACUUUCUAGCUUUGACUGCUGAGCUGUAUUGGUAAGAAGGUGGUGUAAAAGGAGAAAGG